UACGUAGGGUGCAAGCGUUGUCCGGAAUUAUUGGGCGUAAAGAGCUCGUAGGCGGUCUGUCGCGUCUGCUGUGAAAAUCCAGGGCUCAACCCUGGACCUGCAGUGGGUACGGGCAGACUAGAGUGCGGUAGGGGAGAUCGGAAUUCCUGGCGUAGCGGUGAAAUGCGCAGAUAUCAGGAGGAACACCGGUGGCGAAGGCGGAUCUCUGGGCCGUAACUGACGCUGAGGAGCGAAAGCGUGGGGGAGCAAACAGG
rnacentral:rRNA from 1 species